UACGAGGGGGGCGAGCGUUGUUCGGAGUUAUUGGGCGUAAAGGGUGCGUAGGCGGUUCGUACAGUCAGACGUGAAAUUCCCGGGCUCAACCUGGGGGCUGCGUUUGAUACGUGCGGGCUUGAGUUCGGAAGAGGGUCGUGGAAUUCCCAGUGUAGAGGUGAAAUUCGUAGAUAUUGGGAAGAACACCGGUGGCGAAGGCGGCGACCUGGUCCGAUACUGACGCUGAGGCGCGAAAGCGUGGGGAGCAAACAGG
rnacentral:rRNA from 1 species